GGGUGCGUAGGCUGCACGGAAAGUUGGGUGUGAAAGCCCUCAGCUCAACUGAGGAAUUGCAUCCAAAACUGCCGUGCUUGAGGGAGACAGAGGUGAGCGGAACUCAAGGUGGAGCGGUGAAAUGCGUUGAUAUCUUGAGGAACACCGGUGGCGAAAGCGGCUCACUGGGUCUCUUCUGACGCUGAGGCACGAAAGCUAAGGUAGCAAACGGGAUUAGAUACCCCGGUAGUCUUAGCUGUAAACGAUGAGCACUUGAUUGGAGGGUCCUCCAUAGCCUUCCAGUCGUAGCGAAAGUGUUAAGUGCUCCGCCUGGGGAGUAUGGUCGCAAGGCUGAAACUCAAAGAAAUUGACGGGGGCUCACACAAGCGGUGGAGGAUGUGGCUUAAUUCGAGGCUACGCGAAGAACCUUAUCCUAGUCUUGACAUGUAUGGAUUAACCCUGUGAAAGCAGGGCCACGCCUUCGGGUGGAACAUACACAGGUGCUGCAUGGCU
rnacentral:rRNA from 1 species